CACGUAGGGGACGAGCGUUGUCCGGAUUCAUUGGGCGUAAAGCGCGCGUAGGCGGCUCGGAAAGUCGGGCGUGAAAUGCCGGGGCUCAACCCCGGGACUGCGUCCGAUACUUCCGAGCUGGAGGUAGGUAGGGGAGAUCGGAAUUCCUGGUGUAGCGGUGAAAUGCGCAGAGUAUCAAGGAGGAACACCGGUGGCGAAGGCGGAUCUCUGGG
rnacentral:rRNA from 1 species